rnacentral:lncRNA from 1 species
GUGAAUUUGACCUUGGCCUAUACAACGGUUUGAACGGUUUGUUCUGGGAAACAAGACGCUUUCUGCACAGGAAUAGUGCAACCAUGCUGAUCGCGUAGAUAUGAUGUACCUAUGAUGCUCCGAGACUGAGCAACACUGAUCUGUAGUCAAUUUGAAGUCAUUUUGACCUUGACCUUUGUGCUAUAUAUGAAUGGUAAAGUAAAUAUGUAUCCAUGGUGAUCACAAGGAUAUAACUAGCUAGGUGAGAUAAUAUCAACAUGAGGGAUGGGUAAACAUAGCUAGGUGAGAUAACAACAUGAGGGAAGGGUUAACAUAGCUAGGUGAGACAACAACAUGAGGGAAGGGUUAACAUAGCUAGGUGAGAUAACAACAUGAGGGAAGGGUUAACAUAGCUAGGUGAGACAACAUGAGGGAAGGAAACGAGGUGAGACAACAACAUGAGGGAAGGGUUAACAUAG